rnacentral:lncRNA from 1 species
CUUCUAAGAGUUUUCUAGUAGAAUAUUACUCUCCAUUCUCCCAAACUCUCUCUCUCAAACCCUUCUUCUUUCUAAGAGGUCUAGCUUGUAAUGCUAAAUUGGUAGGCUGACCCAAAAAUGUCUGUGGGCAAGCAAAGCUUCUAAGUAUCACAUGGUUGCUUGAGAAAUAAUAAGCCGGUGACAUAGGAGAGCCACGAACAAAAGGGUGACUCCAUGAGAAAAAUCUUGCAUCUAAGCCUAGAGGAUAGUCUAGGUUUUCCUUUCAUUUGUAGAUUAAGGCUUUUGCUUCUUUAUUUAUAGCUUAUAGUAGCAGUACCUCUUUUUACUUCUCUUGGUGUCCUUCUGUGCUAACUUUUUUCUAUUUUUUGUUGAAGGUCGAAAAGAACAUUCAAGAAGAAGGAGAAAAGAGGAAAUAAGUGUUGAGAGAUAGAUCUCAAGUCCCUCUCAUAGAUUAGGAUUGAAUGCAUGCUCGAAAUAGACUCUGCAUGCUUUGCUUGGAGAUGCCUUAUUUGUUUCUACCAUGCUUAAUAACAGAUCUUCAUGUCUAGGUUAGUCUAGUAUUUAGCUUCCCUAUAUUACUAUUGUUUAGCUUUAUAGUUGCAUACUUAGUUUACUUGAGACAUUUCAUGCUUAGUUUUGUCGAAAUAUGCCAUGAUACAUAUUCUGCUUAGUUGAUACAUGUCAUAUGAUAUAGGCGUUACAUGCCAUGCUUAGUUUAUACAUUCCUUGCAUACCAUAUUUAGUAGCAUUAUGGCAUUAUCAUGAUAGCUUAGAUUCAUAGCAUAUUUAUAUAGCUAUGCAUAUUUAUGUUUAUAUGUUUAGAGUAGACGAUUACUUGAUAGUCAUGACUUCAUGCUUUAAUUCUUAGUUUACUUGAUUGCUAGCCUUCUUGCUUGUUUGUUUGGACAUUUAAACCUCUAAAAGCAAAACAAAUCAUAGGCUAAUGUAUCAUCCCUUGCAGUCCUAUCUUCUACCCUAAACCCUUGAGAUGAGUAGGCGUACUCUUGUGUUUCCAUAACCAAAGAAUAGCAUUAAAAGCAUCAAACCUUUUUUCCUACCUUAAGAUAAAACCAUGCUCAUAUAGUUUACCACACCCCUAAAGCAUCACUAAGCUCUAGGACAUGCCGAACUUGUAGGUUUUUGCAUAAGAAAAAAAAAGAUCCUCUAUUAACCAACACGAUCAAUAAUCAUGCUGUAUUAGCAAACAAGUCUAGCCCCAUCAUGGUGGGCCCAAGUUAGAAUAGAUUUGGCUUAGCCUUUCUCCCUACAGUAUUUGGUGUGACUAAUAGUCAUGCUAGUUAGCUACAGUACCCACACUGAACAUAGGGUGACUCUGUCAAGCUUGAUCUAUGGCUUGGAUUUGUUGCUUAUUGAUCAAGUGCUCUAUAGGGUCUCAAUUGGGUUGUUUGAUCUAUGAUUGACUAUUAUGAUUGCUCAGGCUUAGCAUGAUUUUUAUAUAUGCUAUAACCAGCAUGACUAUAAGUCACAUUAUUGCUAUUUGUUGAGAUCCAUAUAGAUUUGAAUCAUUCUGGGCCUUUGAGAGCUCCGAUUACCAUUAUGGAAAGAACAAAACUCGAUCUUGAUCCGAUUCUGAGCUUGCUUGGUUCAAAACAUGGAAUCUGAACCAAUUUGCCCUUUAAUCUCCUCUACCAUGGAUCGACAAUCUUUCCUCGCAUAUUUUAAUGCCCGUCUAUUCUACCUUCUACCCAUAUUGACUAUGAUCCAAUGCAAUGAUAUCUCAAUGGUGUGGCUAGUAAUAUAUCCACAAACAUAACCAAUACUCUAGCUUCCAAUGACUAGUCAUAAUUCACACACAAUCUUCCCUAAUCCUAACCAAACCAUCAUCAUUCUCAAUCACAACCUUACACCAAACCCCUUCUGUUACCCUAUCACACAAUUAAUGAUGCAGAGGAAUUAUAGAAAAACCUUGGCUAGCACCUGUACGCCCUAUACGAAACACUUGGAGCUUAUUAUCUUUGCUUUGCAGUAGCUCAUAAACCUAACCAACCUUUCUAUCAAUAUUAAUGCCACAUCAUACUGCUUACUGUGCUCCCAUUCCUUAACCAAUUCAAUGUUCACCAUUUCUCUGAUUACGUCAGCCCCAGUCCAGCCUUUCACAAUUAGUAUUUUCAAUUGCGUGACAAAAUCCAACACCCAAAGGACUAUAAAACAAAAUGAUGAGUUCAUAUCUGCGAGUUGAUAUCCCUUCCCUAAUGCUAUGCUUUUCUUAAAAUUUAAGAUCAUAGAUUUUGAUAUUUAUGAUGGAACCAAAUGCCCUCUCCACAUAUGAGGGCAUGUCAUGGAAACAUGGCUUAGGUCCCGUACCUUUAUGGAUACAGAUAGAGAUAUUAAACAGUUAACAAAUUAGUAUCUAUAUCUGAUUUUAUUGGCUGCACCUAUACUCGUAGCGUGUGAGCCGUCAUUGUACCAAAAAAAAAAGUAGUAUCUAUAUUUGUUCUAAGUGAAUAUGGAUAUGAAUCAAACACUAGGCAUAUCCAUAUUUGUUUGAAUGGAUACGUAUACAAGUUUGUUCUUAGUUUAUAUCCAUAUUUUUCUAUCAUAAUACAGAUAUAAGUUGGAUAUUAUUGCUGUAUAAAUUGAAUUUUUAGUAGAUUCAAUAAUGAAAAGUAACACUAAUUAUAUAUUAAUAUAGGGUGGAGAUAAAAUGCACUAUACAGAUUACAUGCAACAUACAGGUCACUAAGGGUCUAAGGCAUAGUUAUUAAACUCACACAAAGGCCAACCUGGCUAAGGGUUUAGCACAUUGGUCUAAUAGGAUUUAUUCUAAUGUAUUAAAAAUCAAAAAUUAUGUAAAAUAAAACAUAAUAUAAAAAUGUUAAUAUUUUUUAUAAAUUAUUACUUUUUAAUUCUAACAUAAAUGAAAAUAAUCAUAGAUUAUCUACUGGUAGAGAGCUUGUAAGAAAAAUUAUAUAUUAAUUAAGAAUACAUAAAAGUUAUUAAUAUUUUGAAUAGUUUUAAUAAUAAAGCUUUCAAAAUAUCAUAAAGAAUAAAAUAAAAUAUAUUUAUUUUUUAUCAUAGUGAAAAGAAUUUAUUUUUUAGAAAAAAUAAUGAUUGAAAUAUAAAAUAUUACAAUAUACUCAAAUGAUUAUUUAGUUAUCUGAUGCUAGCUAUUGGAUUCUCCGCUGGUAGGAAAACAGUAUGCACGUUUCUAACAGGUUCAUACAAGUGCUUGGGCAUACCGCCAGUAUCACAAAUUGAAAAGAAGAGAGUGUAAAGGGUUGGUACCAUCGGUCCUGAUGUCUUAAACUUCAAGAACAUUCACUACUAUAAUACCGGUUACUCCAAAGAGGAGAUAGGCUGUAGCCGGAGCUAUGAUUCUACUCCUAGAACUACGGAUAAACUAGGUUAAUUAAAAUAAGUAAAUUAAGGAUAAAUGCAAGGAUAAAGAUGAAGAUAAAGAUAAAAUCAAUGAUAGAUGUUUGAUAGGUGAAAAGGUCCUUUCCUCAACGUUACAUCCUACUAUUUAUGCAUAACAUUGUAGAAGUUAUAGUAACUGCUCAUUUUUAGUGUCGACCUACAUUCACUUCCAAUCUCCACUCCUUGGAAACUGCCCUAACCACUCUCUACUCCCCACGUUCUGGAAACUAUAGAUCUUGUACCCUGUCAUGACCCUCCUGCUAGGCCGAAGAAAUUCCAUGGUUCAUCGUAUUUGAUCGAUCUCAAAUUCAUGGCAGUUGAUUUUCAUUCAGCCUAUCCUUGACAACCAUCCAACCUAUCCUAGCCCAUGCUUGUCUGAUUCAGCUUAUGGGGCUUUUUAUGUCCCAUGUUGAACUAUACUCAGGAUUACUUGAUCUAUUUUCCUAGAAGGAAUCAAGAGGGUGUUAAGGCUUUAGCCUCUAAGUUAUCAUCUUAGUUAAUUGAGGAUGGUUGGCUAGAAACCUCUCCAUCAUUAUCUCAUCCCGGCCUUGCCAGGUAGUUAGAUAUGCUUGCACCCUUUGGAUGUCAUCAUUAGGAAAAAUAUGCCAUAAACACUUGAGUUCAUAUGAAUAAAUAAAAUAAACAACUCAUAUUAGAUUGAGAUUGAUGUUGUAGCCUGAUGGUUGAGGUUUCGUAUUCAAACAUAAUUAUCUGGUUCAAAUUGGUGGUUAUAUAGUUCAUUCCAGAGAACUUUUCUAAAUUUGGAUGAGGAUUCGAUUGGAUUUCAGAAUUGCUAUCCGAAUCCAAUACAGAUAUGGAAACAUAUGUGGUCAGUUUUUAUCAUACCCAUUAUCGGCCCUAGUCUGGCCAGAUUCAAAUUCAAUCAAGUUUGAGUUGCAUUUGAGUCUUUAAAAAUUAAAUCUAAAUUUGCUGAAGUACAUUUUGGUGGCCUUAAUUUUGUUCAAUUUGCUCUCCUUACCUCAUACAUUGGGAUUUUAAGUGGAGCUUGCAUCCAAUUAAAACGUUUUGUUUGUCUUUGAUGACAAAGUUGAGCCAAAUUUUCGUUGUUGUUGAUCUCACCACACUGAUCAUCUCAUUGAUCACAUACAAUCAUACUUCCAAAUUCUACAUGUAAAAUGGUAAUGAUGCUCUCUCCAACACGAAGAUGGUGAUGGAAAAGGAGAAACAAAUUACGUUAUGACAUUGGAACCGGGUGCACCGCUUAAUCACUCGUAAUUGUGGCAGGCACCAUCCUAUCGCAGCGACAUACAAUGUGGAAACAAAGUCAAUCCAAGAGGGCCAGACAUGAAGUUGCUUCUGAUCUCAACUUUAGGAGGCUCAUUCGAGCUUUUGAGCUUUGAAUCGAAGAGGACUUUGUAUUCAUCAUCUGGUUUAAAGAAUAAAAAGUGAG